UACGUAGGGGGCGAGCGUUGUCCGGAUUUAUUGGGCGUAAAGAGCUCGUAGGCGGUUGGGUAAGUCGGGUGUGAAAACUCAGGGCUCAACUCUGAGACGCCACUCGAUACUGCCCUGACUCGAGUCCGGUAGGGGAGCGUGGAAUUCCCGGUGUAGCGGUGAAAUGCGCAGAUAUCAGGAGGAACACCAAUAGCGAAGGCAGCUCGCUGGGACGUUACUGACACUGAGGCGCGAAAGCGUGGGGAGCGAACAGG
rnacentral:rRNA from 1 species